rnacentral:rRNA from 1 species
CCCUUAGAUGUUCUGGGCCGCACGCGCGCUACACUGAUGCAUUCAACGAGUUUCUUCCUGGUCCGAGAGGAAUGGGUAACCUUUUGAAAGUGCAUCGUGAUAGGGAUAGACUAUUGCAAUUAUUGGUCUUCAACGAGGAAUUCCUAGUAGACGUAGUUCAUCAGACUGCAUCGAUUACGUCCCUGCCCUUUGUACACACCGCCCGUCGCUCCUACCGAUUGAAUGCUCAGGUGAGCCAUUCGGACUUUCAACAUGCUGGUUUCCAGUUUUGAUGAAGGAAAGUCUUGCGAACCUUAUCAUUUAGAGGAAGGAGAAGUCGUAACA